CAAGUUUAAUUACAGAAAGCUGUGACGUAUGUCUCCACGUAAUCACUGUGUUCAGUGCUCUCUGCAUCGCAUAUCCACAAAACAACCGAGUGUGAAGCUUUCUUUUUUCUAAUUGUUGGGAUUAUCUGUAGGUCUCUGCUUCAGUGACAAAUGAACACUUCAGAUAAUAUAACAGAAUCAGAGGAGAACUUUUGGUCCAGAACUGAGAAGUCUGUACUCGUUCCCAUUCUCACCACUGAGAUGGUACUGGGUGUUUUGGGAAAUGGAUUGGUUUUGAUUGUCAAAGUUGUGUGUAAAGACCAUUUUCAGUGCCUUUACUGGCUGCCACUUUUCAGUCUCACGCUCUCAGAUUUCCUCUGCUCCAUCCUCAUGAUCUGUGGCUCUCUCGUAGCCUUGCUGAGUGAAGGGCAGAUUUCACCGUGGUGCGAGGUGGUGAGCCUGCUAAAGUUCACCUUCAUCACCUCUUCCAUUGGAAGCAUAGCAAUUCUCUGUGUUCAGAGAUAUAUGGGAAUUCCUUCCAAAGGCAAAAAGCUGUCUGUUGUCAUGGCGGUGGCAUGUGUAGCAUCAUGGUGCACUGGAGCUAUAUUUGGAGCAGUACCAGUAGUCUAUGACUGGAUAAAGUAUGAUCCAGCAGAAAUGCUGUGUGCAGUUUUCUGGGAAAGCAGUUACUCUGACAUGCUGGUUUACAUCCUCUGUGCCUUCUCCAUCUCCAUCUUCAUCCCAUUUCUCCUCAUACUCUUCUGCUCCAUUCUGACUUGUGCUGGCUAUGGGAAAGACAGUUCCAGGUUUGUAGAGUUGGAAGUAGUGAACACAGAAUGCUGAAAGAUUUCAUAUGGAUUUUUAAAGGAAUAGUUCAUUCAAAAAUGAAAAUUUGCUAAAAAUGUACUCAACCUCGG
rnacentral:lncRNA from 1 species